UGGGUCGUAAACUGUUUUUGUGCGGGAAUAAAGUCAUCCACGUGUGGAUGUUUGCAUGUACCGCAAGAAUAAGGACCGGCUAAUUCCGUGCCAGCAGCCGCGGUAAUACGGAAGGUCCGGGCGUUAUCCGGAUUUAUUGGGUUUAAAGGGAGCGUAGGCCGUUCCUUAAGCGUGUUGUGAAAUGUAGGCGCCCAACGUCUGCACUGCAGCGCGAACUGGGGGACUUGAGUACGCGGGAAGCAGGCGGAAUUCGUCGUGUAGCGGUGAAAUGCUUAGAUAUGACGAAGAACUCCGAUUGCGAAGGCAGCCUGCUGUAGCGCCACUGACGCCGAUGCUCGAAAGCGUGGGUAUCGAACAGGAUUAGAUACCCUGGUAGUCCACGCGGUAAACGAUGGAUGCUCGCUGUAUGCCUUUUAGGUAUGCGGCCAAGGGAAACCAUUAAGCAUCCCACCUGGGGAAUACGCCGGCAACGGUGAAACUCAAAGGAAUUGACGG
rnacentral:rRNA from 1 species